rnacentral:snRNA from 1 species
GGAUGUGAGGGCGAUCUGGCUGCGACAUCUGUCACCCCAUUGAUCGCCAGGGUUGAUUCGGCUGAUCUGGCUGGCUAGGCGGGUGUCCCCUUCCUCCCUCACCGCUCCAUGUGCAUCCCUCCCAAAGCUGCGCGCUCAGUGGAAGAGGACGACGUCCCAGGUAUAGAAGGAGUGUAUCGAGGUCUCCAGUCUUCGGUCCCGGGUAUACGAUAGCUGCGCUCCCCUGCUAAGGUCUUUAACAAGGUCCCCCAUGACCUUCUGGCAAACAAACUAGUCAAAUGUGGGUUAGGCAAAGCUACAGUAAGGUUCAUCUGUAAUUGGCUAAGUGCUUCCUCUU